GAUCAUAACCCAUUGGUGUGGCUAAACCGGGUCUCAGGGGACAAUGGCAGGUUGUUAUGUUGGAGCCUGUCCUUACAGCCAUUUAAUUUCACCAUUGCUUACAGACCUGGGAAACAAAAUGGCAACGCCGAUGGGUUAUCAAGGCAGACAUACCUCAGCCCUGAGUUACUUCUGUUCUGGACAGCCUUAAGUUGCCCCGAAAAGGGGUCAAACCUUG